AUCAUACUCCCUCCGUCCCAUAUUAACUGACUUUCUAUUACAUGUAUCUAGACACUUUUUAGGCAUACAUACAUCCAUAUUUGGGCAAAUUUGAGUCACUUAAUAUGGGACGGAGGGAGUACAAG
rnacentral:pre_miRNA from 1 species